ACAGUUAUUUGCCUACUCAAUACAAUCAAUACGAAAGGAGAUUGGUGGGAUCUGCGAAUUGUUUCAAAUGUAUAGGCAAAGCGGAAAAUGUUGAGCAUGCUUUCUGGGAUUGUUCAGCUGCAAAGGAAAUUUGAGGAAAGUUAGGUAUAGAAUGGCCACAGGAAUUAAACGAGGGUUAGUUUAAAGAUUGGAUGUUAUACCUCUAUAACAGUGUCUUAAUUUAAAAAUGUCGAGUAAUAGCCUGCUCAUUCUGGGCUAUGUGGACAGCUAGGAACAAAUACCUACAUAAGGGGAUACCACAGAAUGGGUCUGACAUAGCUUGUUUUAUCACGAGUUAUAUACAGGAAUUGGAGGAACUUAAUAAGAGGUUACCUGGUCGAAGAGUGAAGGGAGAGUGUUGGAGACCGCCGGAGGAGUAGUAUGUGAAAAUCAACUUUGAUGCUACUUUUCACAAACAAAGCAAAAGUUCAUGUUUAGGGAUAGUGGUCAGGGAUUCAAGUGGGAGGGUUCUGAAUUUUACCAUGCACCUAAAUGAACACAUACCAACUAGUUUUGCUGUAGAGGAGAUUGCGUGUGUCCAGGCGAUUCGGCUAGGGUUGGAUCUGGGAAUCGUGAAGGCUGAAAUUGAGGAUGAUGCGUUGUUAGUCGUAAAGAAGGUACAAAUAGGGAAUACAUAUAAAUCUGAAAUCAGUACCUAUGUAUUAAGCACUAGAAUGCUAAGCUCUAAUUAUGAAGCAUUCUUGUUUAGACAUACCUCGAGACAGGCAAAUAAAGUGGCGCAUGCAUUAGCAGUGGAGGGGUUAAAAAGGACUAAGGGGUACUUAUCUGCAAAAUGGAUUUCCUCAGCCGGCUGCUAUGAAGGCAGAUGAUGAUUGCCAAAGAGUGAGUAUCUCUGAUAGAGUAAGUGGCGUAGUGAGGUUUGCAUGGUGGAACAGAGGGAGUAGAUAGAACAGAAGAAUCGGUCAAGUUUGAAAAGGGUCUGCUGUCGACUAGGGGUUUAUUGAGCGAAACCUCGGUCAAAAUGAUCUCUCGAUGAACAAAGUGGAUGGGUUAGUGGGGCUACCUAGAAAUCAAGCUGGUUGAAGAAGACAUCGGCUUUGUGAUUAGUUUUGGACUCUUAAGAGAGGUGCUUCCAGUUUUUGGCAUGAGUUUCGGCUAACAGAUGAUCAGUAGAUGAGCGGGAACUGAUGGGUUCUAGAUGUUAUGAGAGGAGCUUCGAUCGUCGAAAGAUUGGCUUCUGAUUAGGGAUGUCUAUUUGGUUUUUUUUUUUUUUUUUUGGAAACGAC
rnacentral:lncRNA from 1 species